rnacentral:tRNA from 1 species
UCCCUGGAGGACGAGUGGUUAGGCCGCCACGCGCUCACCGCCAUGGCCUGGGUUCAAUUCCCGGCCAGGGAA